rnacentral:rRNA from 1 species
GACAGAGGGUGCUAGCGUUGUUCGGAAUUACUGGGCGUAAAGGGCGCGUAGGCGGCCCUGCAAGUCAAAGGUGAAAUCCCUCGGCUCAACUGAGGAACUGCCUUUGAAACUGUGGGGCUUGAGGCCGGGAGGGGGUAGCGGAAUUCCCAGUGUAGCGGUGAAAUGCGUAGAUAUUGGGAGGAACACCAGUGGCGAAGGCGGCUACCUGGACCGGUACUGACGCUGAUGCGCGAAAGCGUGGGUAGCAAACAGG